GCUCUUGGGUGCGGCAGCUUCUCCAGCGCGAGUUACGGUUUGAUGUUUUGCUCCGGUCAACCUGUAGAGAAAAGGACGGUGAUCACAGUGGUGUAAAAAUUACAUCAACGGGAACCGAAAAGGGCCUCAUCGGAGGCAAAAACUGAGGGAAGCCACGGCGGCACCGCUGGACUUCAACGGUGUUUUUCGGCCGAUUGGCCAGUGGUUUGGCUCCGAUUUGGCCAUAGGCGGAUUCAGCAUCAAAAAACGAGCCAAGGGGAGAACAUUUACCUCGUUUGGCGGUCAAAAAACCCUCUGGUGCGAUGGCGGGUGGCGGCGGCGGCCGGCUCCUCCGGCGACUGGUUCUUCUUGUCCGGCGAGGGUACUGGCGGCUAGGGUUUUGGGUCGGGUGUGGGUGAGAUUAUUUAUAACCUUUCCCUUUUAAUCUCAGCCGUCCAUCAAGAUUUAAUCUGGUGCUGUCCGAUCGCGAUUAAAAUGGGAAUAAAUCUAGGCCGUCCAUUGCGAUGCGAUCUGGGCCGUCCGUGCGUGAUUCAAUCUAGGCCAUCCGCACGCGUGAGAUCUUGGCCAUCCAUGCGCGUGAGAUCUGUGCCGUCUGCACGCGUGAGAUCUGGACCGUUCGAUCGUGUGCACGCGGAUCGCCCACAUGGCUCCGUCUCGCGUGGCCUCCCGCGUCAGCUUCCUUGUUACACGGCGUGUUCUGGUUGGUCGGGGCUGUUGACUGGGCUGCUGACGUGGCUGCUGACAUGGCACAACUUUCCUAAAUUGCAUUUUGACCCCUAGUUUCUGAUUUUCUUUUCAAAAACACCCUCAUAAUCGAAAUUUUCACCCCUUUUUC
rnacentral:lncRNA from 1 species